rnacentral:rRNA from 1 species
UACGUAGGGUCCGAGCGUUGUCCGGAAUUACUGGGCGUAAAGAGCUCGUAGGUGGUUUGUCGCGUUGUUCGUGAAAACUCACAGCUCAACUGUGGGCGUGCGGGCGAUACGGGCAGACUAGAGUACUGCAGGGGAGACUGGAAUUCCUGGUGUAGCGGUGGAAUGCGCAGAGUAUCAGGAGGAACACCGGUGGCGAAGGCGGGUCUCUGGGCAGUAACUGACGCUGAGGAGCGAAAGCGUGGGGAGCGAACAGG